rnacentral:rRNA from 1 species
UAUCUCUGUAGAGUCUGCAUAUCAAUAAGCGGAGGAAAAGAAACUAACAAGGAUUCCCUUAGUAACGGCGAGUGAAGCGGGAAGAGCUCAAAUUUGAAAUCUUCAAGGUUCUGACCUUGACGAAUUGUAGUUUAAAGAAGUGUUUUCGGUUAGAGGAGUAGCUAAAAGUUCCUUGGAAUAGGACAUCAUAGAGGGUGAGAAUCCCGUAUUUGACUAUUCAUUCUAGCUUUGUGAUACACUUUCAAAGAGUCGGAUUGUUUGGGAAUGCAGUCCAAAAUGGGUGGUAAAUUUCAUCUAAAGCUAAAUAUUGGCGAGAGACCGAUAGCGAACAAGUACCGUGAGGGAAAGAUGAAAAGAACUUUGAAAAGAGAGUUAAACAGUACGUGAAAUUGUCAAAAGGGAAGCGUUUGACACCAGUGUUGUUUUUCCGAAAAUCAAUUACGAAUGGCUUGAUUUUGUGUUGUAUUGACCUUAUCAGCUUUCUUCACUUUUUUCGAGUCUUUCUUAAUGCACUUUUCGGUUAACAAGUCAACAUCAAUUUCUUUUGUUGUAAAAGAGCAUUCGGAAGGUGGCUUUCUUUUCGGAGAAAGUGUUUAUAGCCCUAUACUUCUACAAUCGGAGAGAUUGAGGUCUGCAGCGUAGAUCCUUCGGGGUUAGAUACAUUUGUGCUAAGUUGUAGCUUUUCAUAGACAACUUGUUGACUAUGUUUAGUCAUGCGGCUUACUCGCUUAUGCUAUUUUACCUACGCUUAGGAUGUUGACUGAUAUGUAGUCGUA